rnacentral:lncRNA from 10 species
GGGCAACCAGGCUACUGGAUUCCAAGAAAUGGAUAGAGGAAACUCUUCAGAUUAAGAAUCAGGAGAAUUGAAGAUAUUCAGCAAAUUUCUUUGUUGGCAUCUCUAAUGUGAUUAAGAUAUCAGAGUUUUGGGGAACAAAGGUAUAGUGGUUGCUUCUGGCUACGGCACAUGCGCUCCCUCUGCAGGCCCAAAUUAUGAGAGCACCAGUUGGUUAGGCAGCACAGCUGAUUUUCUUGAUGCUCUCAAGCUAGGAUGUCUAUGCUCUUGAUAAUAUUGUCCAUGGUUGUGGCUACUACUCAUGUAAGAGUGUGUGUAUAUGACCUGGGCAUUUCUUUGGAUUUCUUAGUGGUCAAGGCAGUGGUUUGUUCAGACAGAAAUUCCAGCCCAUGCAUGGUCAUCUGUGAGAGUGAGUCCUUUGAGGUUUAUAUCAAGUUUUUGGGAUUCGAUUUGCAAGGUUUCUUUAAGUCCUGGAGGAAAAGGUCAAGUGCAAGGAAGUCCAGCAUCUCAAUAGGGUUUUGGGCAGUCAGGUUUUAGUUCUUGGUGAUUCAGGAGUCAGGCAGGAGAGAGAAAAAUUGGAAAUGUUCGUUUGAAGGGUCGUAGCCAGAUAUUGAAGAAAACGGAAAGAACUGAAAGUUUGUUAAACAACUGACCAAGAAUCUGGGCAAGGUAGCAGGAUCCAGUCUAAUUUGCAGGUAGGAACCCUAACUGGUGUUUCCUGAGGAAGAGAAAGUCAACUAAAUCUCCAUCAGACAAGACAGAGUUUGUAUGAUAUAUAUCAGUUUCCUUCAAUUUAUAAAGUGAUGCACAAUAGUUCAAAGAUAAUGAACAGGACCAGAAUCUGAUAAACCAGAAAUAUGUGCUACAGAUGAUACAGAGUUUUCCACCGAAAUAAAAUUUUUCUUUAUAGUACUGAAAAAUAUUCACUUACCAAUUCUGUGAACAUUUGUUAUAUAGUUUAGACUAUAAUGAAUAUUCAAUUCAGUAUUCUGAUUUAUUUUUUCUCAAUUAGAAAGGAAUUCAUUAGAAGAGGAAAAUGUUAUAUAUUUGUGGAAUGGCACACCACUCUGAAAACAGAAUCUAGUUUUUAAUGCUAAAAAAUUAGGAAAUGAAGUUUAAAAAUCAACGAGCUAUAAACUGAGAAAUACAGAGGAAGGAAAUGAUACUGCAGAAUGUCAAAUAUUUAUGUAGUGGACUCUCACAAGUGAGUUUCACAUAUUUAUUUUUGGAUCCCUCCAGCAGGAACCGACAUCAGCACUGAGAAGCCGUUUAUUGAAGUAUGGGAAUGAGUGUGUUUUGAUCCUAACUGGAGAGUGUUUUGUCUGCCUUAGUGAAAGGAGAAGCUGAAGAACGCAGCAGCCAUCGUGCCUGCUAAUUUUGAUGUUAUGAUUUAAUACCAGGGGCUUUUCAUCAGGAGAACCAGAGGCAGGAGUGCCUGUAAUCUGAGGCAGCCAAUGAAAGUGUUAGAGAAGAAGACAAACAAGGGAAAAGAAGACAUAAACAAGAGACUGACUUUGUGAGGAUCAUCUGCGAUGGGUUGUGGAGAAGGAAUGAAUGAUGCAUAGAAAGAAAUGAUAGUACAUAAAUGGGAAACCGACCCUCAGGCAAGGGACUGAAACUCAUCAGAUCACUGCAUCUGGACAAUGAGAUGCCAGACCCCUCAUCCAUCAUCAUUGCUUUCUUUCCCCUCCUUAAUUCCUGUUUUCCCACCUUCCCUACUAUAUAAAACCCCCAGUUGGAGAGAUGGGUUUGAGACUUUAUCUGUCGUUCUCCUUGGUCACAGCACCCAAUUAAAGCCUUCUUCCCUGGUAAUACUCAUUGUUUCAGUGGUUGGCGUUCUGUGUGGCCAUCAGCAGGGCCUGGACUGAAUCCCUGGCAUUUCGG